AGAAAGAAAGAAAGAAAAGAGCCUCGGGCCCUGGCCCAGAGUCAAAUGGGCAUCUAGAGGAACGUAGGCCUGGCCUUCAGCGGGUGCUGCCAGGAGCCGCUGCCUCUGAGUUCUGAGGUUUCUUCGACUUCCGCUUUCUUCCGCGAGGAAUUCCACCGCGCCCCAAGGCGGGGGCCAACAGCCCCUAGGCCGGGAAAGGAGCGAGGGGGGCCCCCCGCCGGGAACCAGUGCCCGCCGGGCAGCCGCCGGAGGCCGGAGCGGCUUCUCGCCGCGGAGAAUGGAGCGGCGCCGGAGGAAGUGAGCUCACCCUGGAAGGAAGGAAAGCAGGGAGCCCGGACCCACGGCGCGGCUUCCAGGCCCCACGCGCGCGCGGAGCUGGAAGGCCAGGCCGACUCUGGGGAAGAAGCUGCGAGCUCCCGACUCGCGGCCUCGGCCCUCAAGGAGGCCGGUUCGCCCAGGGCCUCAGAUGCAGCCGACUCCAUGGGACUUGUACGGUUGGUCCUUCGUGCUCCCUGCGAGCAGGAGCGCCAGGUGUGACCUUGGAGAUUCAGUCCUGGGGAAGGAGGUCGGAGUCUUCCUAGGUUCAGGUUUCAUAUUCUGAAGAAUGCCUUAUGAAGCUACCAACUUCAUAGUAUCCUAUGUUGGGAUUUGAUGAGCUCAGUGGCCCCACUACCAGAGAUGUCAAAUUUAAUCCAUGAGUUAAGGUGAAAACAUCCACACUCACCUUCACUGGCAAGACAAAAAGAGAGACUGAAUUCAAGGCCUCAUACAUGCCAGGUACAUGAUUUACCAUGGAAAUACCCUCGAUCCCAUGAUUUUUCAUCAAAGAACUAUAUUCUGAUUUUUCCAAGUUCCUUCAGGGUGACGUACAAUCUAAAGCUACAAAAGCAAACAAAUAUCUGCUUUAAAGUUUAAGCAUACAGAAGGAUCUCUCCCAUCAUCUGUGCACUGCAAGUAUGUGUUUCCCACAGGAGCCAGAAGAAAGCAUCAGAUAGAACCGAAGAAUAUCACUGACUAGUUGUAAAGAAAAGAAAAGAGAUCUGUAGUUUCAGAAGCAGGAAAAACCAAGGUCAUGAGUCCUGCAUCAGGAAUCAGCCUUUGACUGCCUCAUAAUCUGGAAGAAGACACAGCCUGGAAAACGGAAGUGAUAGAGGAAGCAGAUGGAAGCCUAAGAAGAGACAUGCCCAGGGAUGAGGUGAUGUCUCCUAGAAUCCAAGUCUCACUGGAGGCUCAGGCAUUGUGAUUGCAUGCUCACCAAACAAGACUAUUUGAGAAAACAAUGUGACUGAAACACAGGGUGCCUGUGAGCUGAUAUCAGCCAUUAAUAGAAAACUCCAAGAAGCAUGGGGUAAGCCUCUCUGAAAAUACGCAUCAUCCUCUCUGAUAAGAUCUGUUGAGCAUCACAGAUGCCCACUGUAUAUUUUUGUACCAUUAAACGUCUUAUUAUGGCCUGUGAUAGUCAGUCGUGUCCACUAGAUAAGAUUUAUAAUCAGCAUGGAAACAAAUCUCUAGGGACACAGGUGUGAGAUAUAAUCUACUUUAGGUUAAGGUGGAAAGAUCCACCUUAAAUGCAGGUGCUACCGUUCCAGGACUGGAAUCCUAAAUUGACCACAUUCAACUUUCUGGGCUUCCUGACUGUAGAUACAACAUGGCCAGCAGCCUGGAGCUCCUGCCAUCACUCCUUUUCCCCUCUGAUGAACUGUCCCCUCCAGCUCAGAGCCAAAAUAAACCCCUCCUUCCUCAAGUUGUUUCAUCAGGGGUUUAGUCCUGGCAACUAUAACUAAAAUAAGUUACACUACCUGGUAAACACAUACUUGGAUGCUGCGUUGGUUUGAAAGAAAAUGGCCCCCAGAGGGAGUGGCACUAUUAGGAGGUGUGACCUUGUUGGAAUAGGUGUGGUCUUGUUGGAGGAAGUGUGUCACUGAG